GGGAUCCGCCAACAUUUUGUGGAUCAAAGACUGUUGAAUUUCAUAGUAUAAAAUUGCUUGUAUAGGAAUUUACUUUCUAAAAUGUCCAUUGUAAUUACAAACUAAACCCAAUUACUGCUUUUUUCUCAUUACACUUGACAACCCUGCUCAUCUGCUAUGAGAUAUAUUAGUCCACGGCAUAUUCUAGGUAGAUGAAAAAUUGGAUACAAAACAGUCUAACGAGACAACGAAGAGAAGUUUGUAGCUUUAUUUUGAAAUAAAUCGAAGGUAUUAGAGGUCAUAUGGCAUUGAUAUACGAAGUAUUCUAAAUGAGAAUUCAAACAUGUGCUCGAUGAGAAGUAGCAUCUCAUUCUUACAUAUACCAUACCCACGUGCUUGCCACCUGACUAUACUCUAUUUUGAGUUUUUUUUCUAAAACAUCUGUUGACACGUGGCUCCAAAUGGUUGGGGACUUUUUCGUAUUAAAAAUAGUAUAGCCACGCGGCUAUACUCUAUUUUGAUUCUUUUUAAAAAAAACAUAUGUUGACACGUGGCUCCAAAUGGUUGGGGGACUUUUUUUGUAUUAAAAAUAGUAUAGCCGCGCGGCUAUACCCUAUUUUGAAUUUUUUUUUUUAAACAUGUGUUGACACGUCGCUCCAAAUGGUUGGGGGGACUUUUAUUGUAUCAAAAAUAGUGUAGCCGCGCGGCUAUACUCAGAUGUGAAGUUUUUUUUUUUAAAAGACAAGUGUUGACACGUGGCUCCAAAUGGAUGGUGGAACGUUUUUGUAUUAAAAAUAGUACAGCCGAUCGGCUAUACUCAGUUUUGAAAUUUUUUUUGAAAACAUGUGUUAACACGUGGCUCCAAAUGGUUGGGGGACCUUUUUUGUAUUAAAAAUAGUAUAGCCGCCCCGCUAUACUCAGUUUUGAAAUUUUUUUUUAACAAAGACAAGUGUUGACACGUGGCUCCAAAUGGUUGGGGGACCUUUCGGUAUUUCAAAUAGUAUAGCUGGGCGGCUAUACUCUAUUUUGAUUUUUUUUUUAUAAACAUGUGCUGACAAGUGGCUCCAAAUGGUUGGGGGACCUUUUUUGUAUUAAAAAUUGUAUAGCCGCCCGGCUAUACUCUAUUUUGAAUUUUUUUUUUACAAAGACAGUGUUGACACGUGGCACCAAAUGGUUGGGGGACCUUUUUUGUAUUAAAAAUAGUAUAGCCGCGCGGCAAUACUCAGUUUUGAAAUUUUUUUUAAAAAGACAAGUGUCGACACGCGGCUCCAAAUGUUUGGUGGAACUUUUUUGUAUUAAAAAUAAUACAGCCGCCCGGCUGUACUCAGUUUUGCAAUUUUUUUUAGUAAACAUGUGUUGACACGUGGCUCCAAAUGUUUGGGGGACCCUUUUUCUAUUAAAAAUAGUAUAGUCGGGCGGAUAUACACAGUUUUGAAAUUUUCUUAGAAAACAUGUGUUGACACGUGGCUCCAAAAGGAUUGGGGGACCUUUUUUGUUUUACAAAUAGUAUAGCCGAGCGGCUAUACUCUAUUUUGAAUUUUUUUUUUUUAAAACAUAUGUUGACGCGUGGCUCCAAAUGGUUAGGGGACCUUUUUGUAUGAAAAAUAGUAGUAUUACCACGCGGCUAUACUCAGUUUUGAAAUAUUUUUUAAAAAUACAGUGUUGACACGUGGCUCUAAAUGGUUGGUGGAACUUUUUUGUAUUAAAAAUAGUACACCCGCCGGGCUAUACUCAGUUUUGAAAUUUUUUUAGAAAACAUGUGUUGACACGUGGCCCCAAAUGGUUGGGGGACCUUUUUCGUUUUAAAAAUAGUAUAGCCGAGCGGCUAUACUCUAUUUUGAAUUUUUUUUUUUAAAAAAAAACAUGUGUUGACACGUGGCUCCAAAUGGUUGGGGGACCUUUUUGUAUAAAGAUAGUAUAGCCGCCCGGCUAUACUCAGUUUUGAAAUGUUUUUGAAAAAGACUGUUGACACGUGGCUCCAAAUGGUUGGUGGAACUUUUUUGUAUUAAAAAUAGUACAGCCGCCCGGCUAUACGCAGUUUUGAAAUUUCUUUAGAAAACAUGUGUUGACACGUGGCUCCAAAUGGUUGGGGGACCUUUUUUGUAUUAAAAAUAGUAUAGCCGCGCGACUAUACUUAGUUUUGAAAUUUUUUUUACAAAGGCAAGUGUUGACACGUGGCUCCAAAUGGCUGGGUGACCUUUUUUGUAUUAAAAAUAGUAUAGCCGCCCGGCUAUACUCAGUUUAGAAAUUUUUUUUUACAAAGACAAGUGUUGGCACGUGGGUCCAAAUGGUUGGGGAACCUUUUUUGUAUUAAAAAUAGCAUAGCCGCGCGGCUAUACUCAUUUUAGCAAUUUUUUUAAAAUGACAACUGUUGACACGUGGCUCCAAAUGGUUGGGGCACUUUUUU
rnacentral:lncRNA from 1 species